GGAUCCCAGGGCCAAGCUUCUUAACCUUAUCACUGAUAGCACUGACACCAGAGUCGACACCAGCUGGAACAUGUGAGUAUAUCUGUAGGCUUCCAUCUUCAUGUAACACAAGACAGUGGAUUUUGUCUUUUGACAAAGGCUUAUGAGCAGCAACCCCUACAACAGGAGAUGCUGAACCCACUGAAUGUCGCAAGUUCUGUACGAGUACUUCAUGUUCACCAAAUGAGACAGCACAUGCAGCAUUUGAGUUCAAACUUGAGAAGCAACCAAGCAAGGCACUGCCACCAAAUAAAUCUCUCCACCGGUGCAAUCCUGCUGGCCGAAGUUUAUCAUCUGUUUCAUUCUCCAAUAUGGCAGAGGCCUCUAUUAGGGAAGUUACAUCUGGAUUUACUCGGCCAACCAAGGUGGUCCCAUCUUGAAAGGACAAAAAGAGCAACCGAUGCAUUAGCGAAAAAUAUAAGGAAGAACCUUUUGCAUGUCUUUCUUUACCCUCAAUUUGCAGAAUUUCCUUCAAUGGCUUGGCCCCGACAUUUCCUUUUGAUGACGACAACUCCAACCUGUACAAGCUACCAUGUUCUGAAAGGACAAUCAGAAACACUCUACCCUGUGAAGCCAUAAUAAGUGCAGCAUCCAUAAUCAUGUCAUCAGGCAAAGUGAAA
rnacentral:misc_RNA from 1 species